CAGACGGACUUCAUCCUGGUGCGGGAGCAGGACCUGUCCGUGGUGAUCCACACGCUGGCCCAGGAGUUCGACAUUUACCGCGAGGUGGAGUGGGCAGGUGCUAGCCUGACUGCGUGUCUGCCCAUGCAGGGGAACACGGUGCUCGGGGCUUAAGCCCCCAACCCAUCACUCCCUGCGCAGCCUCGGCGUUUGCACAGUCCCUGCCUGAGGCCUGAGCCAUUCCCCAAAGGCUUCCUGGGCCAGCUGCCCCGCUGACCUCCGUUCUGCCUCUGGUGGGGUUGCCUUCCCUGGCCAGGUGAGUCCUGACAGUGCCUCUCCCUCCUGGGGCCUCCAAGGAAAGUAUUUUGACAUCUCUCUCUCUUCUGUUUUUAUUGACUUGUUAAUAAAGGACUUUGUAGUGAC
rnacentral:lncRNA from 1 species